GAUAAGAUCAGCUAAACAAGCUUUCGGGCCCAUACCCCGAACAUGAUGGUUAAAACCCCUCUCCUAUCA
rnacentral:tRNA from 1 species